rnacentral:rRNA from 1 species
AAUCUACCUAGUAGAAGGGGAUAGCCCGGGGAAACUCGGAUUAAUACCGUAUACCUCCUAAGGGAGAAAGAGGGCCUCUCUUGAUGCUCUCGCUAUUAGAUGAGCCUGCGUAAGAUUAGCUUGUUGGUAAGGUAAUGGCUUACCAAGGCUACGAUCUUUAGCUGGUCUGAGAGGACGAUCAGCCACAUUGGGACUGAGACACGGCCCAGACUCCUACGGGAGGCAGCAGUGGGGAAUAUUGGACAACGGGCGCAAGCCUGAUCCAGCCAUACCGCGUGUGUGAAGAAGGCCUUCGGGUUGUAAAGCACUUUAAGCAGGGAGAAAAAGUUAUAAGUUAAUACCUUAUAACCGUGAUGUUACCUGCAGAAUAAGCACCGGCUAAUUCCGUGCCAGCAGCCGCGGUAAUACGGAAGGUGCAAGCGU